rnacentral:lncRNA from 1 species
CCUGGGAGAGAAUGCAUCUGUCUAAUCCCUGUUCUCUUUCUGUUGCCUAAAGGGGUCUUUGACACAUGGUGUUUAUAGAGCAAAUGAAUGAAGCCAAGGAAUGAAUGAAUGAGCUCUCCAUCGGAAUGGUGGGAGGAAGAGGCAGUGUCUACUUGGAGAAGUGGAAAAAAGUGGUAACUGAAGCAGGAUAUGCCAGAGAUCUCCACUUUAGCCACUGAGUGCAGGUGAAAAGGCUCUCAGAAGAAAAUCAACAGUAGCAAAGACAAAGGCUGCCUGGAUUCUGGACAUGUGCCUCUUGCUGUACGAUUGUGGGGACCCCAGAGAUCAUCUGUACGGGUGGAUCUGAUGCCCCACCUCCACACCUCGGUGUCCUGCAGUCCUGAGUUUCGAGGGAAAUGCAAUGGGCUCAAGACUCUACCAAAGAUGCCACAGUCUUUCCAAGGAAGGAGCUCUUGCGUAUGGCCCUCAGGCUUUGGAAGCCAGGUCUUCAGAUUACACCACUGAGCAGCCGCCUUGAUAGAGGCCACAGGAAACAUUCUGACUGGGACCACCCAGCGCAGUGACUCCUUCAUCCUUACUUCUGUGAAGAUGUGAUGGAAGCAAUACGUGUGCUACGUCACUUAGGGAAGAAUCUGGCUUGAGACCUCCCCUCCCUUCUUAUCAUCUUCUAUCUGUAUUAGCGCUGAUAGGCAUAAAGCUCUAGGGAGAAUCACCAGUCCAGCAAAACAAAGAGGUUGUUGAAGAAAUCUUAGUUCAGCAGGAGGCUAAACAUAAAGCAAGACAGACCUUUUUUUUUUUUUUUUUUUUUUUUAGUGGUACCAGGGAUCGAACUCACGACUGCCUGUUCACAAGGCAGGUGCUUAUGCCGCUGAGCUAAAUCCCCAAACCAAGACAGACCUUUUGAGGGAACUUCUAACCUGACUUGGAGUGGGUGACAGUCAAACACUAACGUAUUGGUCAGGGCUGCUAAAAGAAGCUACCGCAACCGGUGACUUACGAUGGAAAUGCAUUGUGUUACAAUUUGCAAGGCUAACAGUUUAAAAUUAAUGCGUGGGUGAGACCACGCGCACACUGAAACCUGAAGGCCUUUUAUCCUAGAUUGUUUUUGUGGUUGUUGUUAUUUUUAUUUUUUAUUAAUGUAUAUGCUGUUCAUAAUGUUUACAUCGCUUGUAGGAGGUUGGUAAGUGUACACGAAACACCACAGCACACAGCUAAUUUUGGUGCUUACUUUGGCAGCACAUAUACUAUUAAGAUUAAUUUUGUCAUUAAGACACAAAAACGUGAGCUGUCAGACCCACUUUUUCUUAGAAUAUUUCCAUUGAUGAAUUAUUAAUUUUAGUUUUAUGAGUUUUAUUCUAUUAAGCAGUG